UCUCUUGUUGGAGAUCUCUCCUUUGUGGAGUUUUUUUACAAGCCCAGAUCUUCAGAGGUGGGUGAGCAUCCUUCUUCUUGUGACAUCUUUUCAUUACAUUGAUCCUGAUGCUGUUACACACGUACCAGCAAGCAGAGGGACAGGUGAAGACGCGCUGUCUUGCUCUGGGUUCCAUCACACUGUGAAGGGGAGGCGGCAUCGCGCAGCCCUGCACGGAGCAGCCCUGCAUCACCUCCUGGCAGCCAAAACCCCGCUUAGCAGAUACUGUGGAAAACAUCAGGCCAGAUGCUCCAGGCUUUUCCUUGGCUCCACGCUAAUGAACACACACCCACCAGAUGAGCAGACAGUGCUGCUGCUGCCCGGCCUCGCUCCUGGAGGUGGCUCAGUGCGUCGGAUCCAGGUCUGACCCGAGUAGUUAUGUUUAAGGUAGCAGCAAACACAAUUGUCAGGACAUCUUCGGUAGCUGCCUGAAUCUCAGCUGUGUAUGUUGAAGAACAGCACUGAUAUCGGACUCAGAUGUUUCUUUUGCUGUCACUGCUGUAGGACUCUGUGGUUUCCCUGUGCUGGGGCUGCUGGCUCUGCUCCUGUGCUGGAGCUGUGGUUCUGGUGGCACCUCGGUGUCUCCUGUGGACACAGGUCGGAGCCAACCCUGGGGUACCAGGAGCAGCACCCGUGCAGAGCUUGUGCUGGUGCAGUUUACAUAUGGACAGCCUUUGCAAAUUAAGUAGUGCAAUUCAUCAUAAAGCAUCCUCUACAUUUGUUGCAGAAAUGCUCCUAGCCACAGGGAAUUUGCGUUAUGGCUUGAAGAGCGGCACGUCUUUCAAUGCCUGUAGCAAUGACUGUCUGCUCCCUGAGCUUAAAGAUCAUUAUCCAGCACUCUCUCAUUCAGCAUAACUUUUAUGUCUAGCAAAUUAAAUUUCUGGGCAAAAUAAUUACAUGUAAAGGCUGCUGGCUAUUAUUCACAAGGGGCCAAUUUUCUCGCCAUUUGUUGCCAUUUGAAAUGUCAAAUUUAUGGCACUGUAAUAUAUACAACAUAUAGUUCAAAAGUAGAAUGUGAAAGGCUCCAAUCAAGUCUGCCAAUGUAAAUUCUGAAGAUAGCUGGGCAUCAGAGAGGGAAAAUAAAUUAUCUAAUUGAA
ensembl:lncRNA